UGGUCAAGUUAUUAAGGGUGCAGGGCGGAUGCCUUGGCACUAGGAGCCGAUGAAGGACGUGAUAAGCUGCGAUAAGCUUUGGGGAGUUGCACGUAAACUUUGAUCCGAAGAUUUCCGAAUGAGGAAACUCACUUAGAGUAAUGUCUAAGUAUCAUUAAGUGAAUACAUAGCUUAAUGAGGGGAACUCAGGGAACUGAAACAUCUAAGUACCUGAAGGAAGAGAAAGAAAUUCGAUUCCGUAAGUAGCGGCGAGCGAACGCGGAUUAGCCCAAACCAAUAAAGUUUUCUUUAUUGGGGUUGCGGACAUAUCAUAACGAAGAGGUAUCGUAAUUGAAGAGGUUUGGAAAGACCCACCACAGAAGGUAAUAGUCCUGUAUGUUAAACGAGAAGACUUUAGAUAUGAUCCAGAGUACCACGGGACACGUGAAACCCUGUGGGAAGCAGGAGGGACCACCCUCCAAGGCUAAAUACUACCUAGUGACCGAUAGCGUAUAGUACCGUGAGGGAAAGGUGAAAAGAACCCCGGGAGGGGAGUGAAAUAGAACCUGAAACCCUGCACUUACAAGCUGUGGAAGCACAUUUCUUGUGUGACCGCGUACUUUUUGUAGAACGGGCCAACGAGUUACGUUAAGUAGCAAGGUUAAGCACUUAAGGUGCGGAGCCGUAGCGAAAGCGAGUUUUAACUGAGCGUUCAGUUACUUGACGUAGACCCGAAACCGGGCGACCUACCCAUGAGCAGGAUGAAGCGAAAGUAAAAUUUCGUGGAGGUCCGAACCCACGAGCGUUGAAAAGCUCGGGGAUGACUUGUGGGUAGCGGUGAAAUUCCAAUCGAGCCCGGAGAUAGCUGGUUCUCCCCGAAAUAGCUUUAGGGCUAGCCUCAAGGUGAGAGAUACGGAGGUAGAGCACUGAAUGUCCUAGGGGGUAUUGCACCUACCGAAGACUAUCAAACUCCGAAUGCCGUCAUCUUAUACUUGGGAGUCAGACUGUGGGUGAUAAGAUUCAUAGUCGAAAGGGCAACAGCCCAGAUCGUCAGCUAAGGUCCCUAAAUGUAAGUUAAGUGGUAAAGGAUGUGGGAUUGCACAGACAACCAGGAUGUUGGCUUAGAAGCAGCCACUCAUUCAAAGAGUGCGUAAUAGCUCACUGGUCGAGUGAUCCUGCGCCGAAGAUUUCCGGGGCUAAAACUUACUACCGAAGCUACGGCAUCAGUAAUGAUGGGUAGGGGAGCUUCCCAUACGGGUUGAAGCAUGACCGUAAGGACAUGUGGACAGUAUGGGAGUGAGAAUGUUGGCAUGAGUAGCGAGAUGUGGGUGAGAAUCCCACAGGCCGUAAACCCAAGGUUUCCAGGGGAAGGUUCGUCCGCCCUGGGUUAGUCGGGACCUAAGCUGAGGCCGAAAGGCGUAGGUGAUGGACAACAGGUUGAUAUUCCUGUACUACCGAUAACCGUUUGAGAGAAGGGAUGACACAGUAGGAUAAGCUAAGCACACUGUUGGUUAUGUGUGCCCAAGCAUUGAGGCAGUCAAAGUAGGUAAAUCCGCUUUGAUAAUGCUGGGAUGUGAUGGGGAGCGAAAUUUAGUAGCGAAGUAGCUGAUUUCACACUGUCAAGAAAAGUCUCUAUCGAGGUUAAAGGUACCCGUACCGCAAACCGACACAGGUGGGUGAGGAGAGUAUCCUAAGGCCAGCGAGAGAACUGUUGUUAAGGAACUCGGCAAAAUGACCCCGUAACUUAGGGAUAAGGGGUGCCACCAUCAGGUGGCCGCAGAGAAUAGGCCCAAGCGACUGUUUACCAAAAACAUAGGUUUCUGCUAAGUCGCAAGACGAUGUAUAGGAGCUGACGCCUGCCCGGUGCUGGAAGGUUAAGGGGAUCUGUUAGAGCAAUCGAAGCAGUGAACUUAAGCCCCAGUAAACGGCGGCCGUAACUAUAACGGUCCUAAGGUAGCGAAAUUCCUUGUCGGGUAAGUUCCGACCCGCACGAAAGGCGUAACGAUUUGGGCACUGUCUCAACAACAGACUCGGUGAAAUUGUAAUUCCGGUGAAGAUGCCGGAUACCUGCGACAGGACGGAAAGACCCCAUGGAGCUUUACUGUAGCUUGACAUUGGGUCUUGGUACUACAUGUACAGGAUAGGUGGGAGGCUUUGAAACCAGGACGCCAGUUUUGGCGGAGCCAUCCUUGGGAUACCACCCUUGUAGUACUGGGACUCUAACCAUAGGCCAUGAAUCUGGUCUUGGGACACUGUCAGGUGGGCAGUUUGACUGGGGCGGUCGCCUCCCAAAAGGUAACGGAGGCGCUCAAAGGUUCUCUCAGUACGGUCGGAAAUCGUACGUAGAGUGUAAAGGCAAAAGAGAGCUUGAUUGCAAGACAUACAGGUCGAGCAAGGAUGAAAAUCGGACUUAGUGAUCCGGUGGUUCUGCGUGGAAGGGCCAUCGCUCAACGGAUAAAAGCUACCCUGGGGAUAACAGGCUUAUCUCCCCCAAGAGUCCACAUCGACGGGGAGGUUUGGCACCUCGAUGUCGGCUCAUCACAUCCUGGGGCUGUAGUAGGUCCCAAGGGUUGGGCUGUUCGCCCAUUAAAGUGGUACGCGAGCUGGGUUCAGAACGUCGUGAGACAGUUCGGUCCCUAUCCGUCGCAGGCGUAGGAAAUUUGAGAAGACCUGUCCUUAGUACGAGAGGACCGGGAUGGACGUACCUCUGGUGUACCAGUUGUCCUGCCAAGGGCAUGGCUGGGUAGCUAUGUACGGAAUGGAUAAGCGCUGAAAGCAUCUAAGCGCGAAGCCAACUUCAAGAUAAGAUUUCCCACCGCAAGGGUAAGACCCCAGAAAGACUAUCUGGUUGAUAGGUCGAAGGUGUAAGUGCAGCAAUGUAUUUAGCUUAUCAAUACUAAUAGGUCGAGGACUUGACCAAU
rnacentral:rRNA from 1 species